GAUGAACGCUAGCUACAGGCUUAACACAUGCAAGUCGAGGGGCAUCAGGAAGAAAGCUUGCUUUCUUUGCUGGCGACCGGCGCACGGGUGAGUAACACGUAUCCAACCUGCCCUUUACUCGGGGAUAGCCUUUCGAAAGAAAGAUUAAUACCCGAUAGUAUAAUGAUUCCGCAUGGUUUGAUUAUUAAAGGAUUCCGGUAAAGGAUGGGGAUGCGUUCCAUUAGGUUGUUGGUGAGGUAACGGCUCACCAAGCCUUCGAUGGAUAGGGGUUCUGAGAGGAAGGUCCCCCACAUUGGAACUGAGACACGGUCCAAACUCCUACGGGAGGCAGCAGUGAGGAAUAUUGGUCAAUGGGCGCUAGCCUGAACCAGCCAAGUAGCGUGAAGGAUGAAGGCUCUAUGGGUCGUAAACUUCUUUUAUAUAAGAAUAAAGUGCAGUAUGUAUACUGUUUUGUAUGUAUUAUAUGAAUAAGGAUCGGCUAACUCCGUG
rnacentral:rRNA from 1 species